GUGAAAGGAAUUAUUUGCCCUAUUUCUCUCUCAGUGAAUCUGUCAUUGGUGUAGAGGAAAGCUAUUGAUUUUUGUGUGUUGACCUUGUAACCAGCUACUUGACUGAAUUUGGUUAUUAAGUCUAGAAGACUUUUGGUGGAGUCCUUGGGGUCUUCUAUAUAGAGUAUCAUGUCAUCUGCAAAUAAUGACAAUUUAACUUCUUCAUUUCCUAUCUUUAUUUCUUUUCUUUCUUUCUCUUGUCUAAGUGCCAUGGCUAAUGUUUCCAGAACUAUAUUGAACAAGAGUGGUGAUAGUGAACAUCCUUGUCUUGUUCCUGAUUUUAGUGUGAAGGAUUUCAGUUUCUGACCAUUUAGUAUGAUAUUGGCGGUUGGUUUUUCAUAGAUGGCUUCUAUCAGUUUGAGGUAGAGACCAUCUAUUCCAAUGUUUUGUAGGGUUUUUAUCAUAAAUGCAUGUUGGAUUUUGUCAAACGCUUUUUCUGCAUCUAUGGAGAUAAUCAUAUGGUUUUUGUCCUUGGCUCUAUUGAUAUAGGGUAUUACAUUAAUUGAUUUUUGUAUAUUGAACCAUCCCUGCGUCCCUGGGAUGAAUCCUACUUGAUCAGGGUGUAUGAUUUUCUUGAUGAUCUUCUGCAUUCUGUUUGCAAGUAUCUUAUUAAGGAUUUUUGCAUCUAUGUUCAUUAGUGUGAUUGGCCCAUAGUUCUGUUUUUCGGUUGGGUCUUUCUCUGCUUUGGGGAUCAAGGUGAUGCUUGGUUCCAGGAAUGAAUUUGGGAGUAUUGCUUCCCUUUCAAUUUCAUUGAAGAGUUUAAACAGUAGUGGCAGCAGUUCCUCUCUAAAUGUCUUGUAGAAUUCAGCAGUGAAGCCAUCAGGGCCCUGGCUUUUCUCAGUUGAUAAGUUUUUAAUUACAUUUUCAAUUUCAUUGGUUGAUAUUGGGUUGUUCAGAAUUUUUAGGUCUUCUUCAUUCAACUUUGGUACUUCAUAUGUAUCUAGGAAUCUGUCCAUUUCUUCUGUGUUUUCCACCUUAUUGGCAUAUAGGUUCUGGUAGUAGGUAUUGAUGAUCCUGUGGAUUUCUGCUGGGUCUGUUGUAAUUUCAUCCUUUUCAUUCCUAAUUGCAUGGAUUUGGGCCUUUUCUUUCCUUUUUCUGACAAGGUUGGCUAAGGGUUUGUCAAUUUUGUUGAUUCUUUCGAAGAACCAACUCUUCACUUCAUUGAUUUUUUUGUAUCAUUCUCUUAGUCUCCAUUGCAUUGAUUUCUCCUCUGAUCUUUAUAAUUUCCUCCCUUGUAUGAGUUCUGGGGUUGUCCUGUUCUUCUUUUUCUAGAAGCUUGAGGUUCAGCAUCAGGUUGUUUAAUGGGGCUUGUUCUGUUUUCCCAAUAUAUGUAUUCACUGCUAUGAAUUCCCCCCAUAAGACUGCUUUCAUUUUGUCCCAUAGAUUCCGAUAUGUUGUAUUGGCAUUGUCAUUUAAUUGAAGGAACUGUCUGAUUUCUUCUUUAAUUUCCUCUGUGACCCAUUGGUUAUUCAGAAGUGUGUUGUUCAAUUUCCACGUGUUUGUGAAAUUUUUGAGUUUCUUUUGGUAUGGAUCUCCAAUUUCAUCACACUAUGGUCUGAUAAUAUACAGGGGAUAACUUCAAUUCCUUUGCACUUACUUAAACAUGUUCUAUGUGUGAGUAUGUGGUCUAUUUUGGAGAAUGACCCAUGUGCAGCUGAGAAGAAUGUGUAUUCUGAUUUUGUGGGGUGGAAGACUCUGUAAACAUCUGUUAAGUUCAUCUGUUCAAGAGUUCAAUUGAUUUCUAGUAUUUCUUUACUUAUUUUUAGUCUAGUUGAUCUAUCUAUUUGUGAAAGUGGGGUGUUGAGGUUCCCCACUACAAUUGUAUUAGUGCAUAUAUGACUUUUCAUGUCCGUUAGUAUUUGUUUUGUAUAGUUGGGCGCACUAGUGUUUGGUGCAUAGAUAGUUAUGAUUGUCAUCUCUUCCUCUUGGAUUCUUCCCUUUACAAGGAUGUAGUGUCCUUCUUCAUCUCUCUUAAUCAGUGUUGGUUUGAAAUCUACUUGACCUGCCAAGAGGAUAGCUACUCCUGCUUUUUUUCAGGUUCCUGUCACAUGGAGUAUUGUUUUCCACCCUUUAACUUUCAGUCUAUGAGUUUCCUUUUGAAUUAAGUGUGUUUCUUGUAUGCAGCAUAUUGUUGGAUUUUACUUCUUGACCCAUUCUGCCAGUCUAUUUCUUUUGAUUGGUGAAUUGAGACCAUUAACAUUGAUGGUUAUAACUGAAACAUAUUGACUUGUCAUUGCCAUGACUUUUUCUUUUUGUUGGGUUCUCCCCCUUUCCAUUUAAUUUCUUGUCAUGCCAGAUGGGUUCAUUCUGCUGGGCUUCCUGGGGCUGUGAUGCUCAAUGUCUGUUCCUAGGAUAUUGUGCAAAAUUCUUUGGAGUGCUGGUUUUGUAUUCACGAAGUUCCUAAGGUGGUCUUUGUCAUGAAAGUAUCUUAUUUCUCCAUCCAUUUUGAAAGAUAAUUUUGCAGUGUACAUCAAUCUGGGUUGGAGGCUGUUUUCUUUUAGGGCUUUGAAUAUGUCACUCCAAGCUCUUCUUGCCUUGAUGUUUUGUGUUGGGAAGUUCUCUGUGAUUCUGAUGGGCUUUCCUUUUUAUGUGACUUGUUUGUUUUCUCUAACAGCUUGUAGAAUUUUGUCCUUCUGUUGUGUUUCUGGAAUCUUAACAAUUAUAUGCCUAUGUGUUGAUUUUUUUUGAUCAAGGCUAUUUGGAGUUCCAUAUGGCUCACUUAUCU
rnacentral:lncRNA from 1 species